rnacentral:ribozyme from 3 species
ACAGGUUUGCGCCUGUAUAAAUAGACAUUAAGCGCAAAGCGUCCCGCAAUUGUUGCGGGGGUUGUA